rnacentral:rRNA from 1 species
GUAGUCUCGCACAGAUGCAUAUCAAUAAGCGGAGGAAAAGAAACUAACUAGGAUUCCCUCAGUAACGGCGAGUGAAGCGGGAAGAGCUCAAAUUUGAAAUCUUCAAGGUUCUACCUUGACGAAUCGUAGUUUAAAGAAGUGUUUUCUGUUGGAGUUUUGGUAAAAGUUCUUUGGAAUAGGACAUCAUAGAGGGUGAGAAUCCCGUAUUUGACCAUUAUUUCCAGCUUUGUGAUACACUUUCAAAGAGUCGGAUUGUUUGGGAAUGCAGUCCAAAAUGGGUGGUAAAUUUCAUCUAAAGCUAAAUACUGGCGAGAGACCGAUAGCGAACAAGUACCGUGAGGGAAAGAUGAAAAGAACUUUGAAAAGAGAGUUAAACAGUACGUGAAAUUGUCAAAAGGGAAGCGUUUGACACCAGUGUUGUUUUCUCGAAAAUCAAUUAAAAGAACGGAUUUAUGCUAGCUGUAUUAGACUUUAUCAGCUAUCUGCACUCCUUUCUUGUCUUUUUUUAAUGCACUUUUCGUUUAACAAGUCAACAUCAAUUUCUUUUGUUGUAAAAGGGUCAUUGGAAGGUGGCUUUCUUUUCGGAGAAAGUGUUUAUAGCCUUUGGCCUCUGCAAUCGGAGAGAUUGAGGUCUGCAGCGUAGAUCCUUCGGGGUUAGAUACAUUUGUGCUAAGUUAUAGCCUUUCAUAGACAACUUGUUGACUAUGAUCAGUCAUGUAGCUUACUCGCUUAUGCUAUUUUACCUACGCUAGGAUGUUGAAGUCAUCGUAUCGCGC